UUAUCUUUAAAACGUUGCAAUAGUGAUACGUGAUGUUUUACAAGUUGUUUACCGCAUGCAUGUUUUUGUAGUCAAGUAAAUGCAUGAACGCGAAGUUUGAAAAUUUCGAAAUACUUAUUUAAUUGUAGUAUAUAUUGACAGUAUACUUAUGGUCGGGGCUAAUAUAACAAGAGAUUUUACUGAAACAUAAGGAUGAUGAAGUAUUGUGUUGUUUUUGCUUUCGUAGCAACAUAUAUUGGGAAUUCAUGGAGUCUACCAAAAACUCUAGCAUGUCCUGAUUGCCAGCAUUUUAGCUACCAUCUUGUCAACAUUCCGAGCAAAUACGUCAGCGUCAUUCGGGACAAAAUGCCCACAGUUGAACAUGAAAACAAUAUGGAGUGUGUAAAGAACACCGUAUCCCCGGGCGUCUGUCCAACUCCUACACAUGAUGAAGUUUCUACCUGCGAAACAUUGUGGUUCAAAAUCCGGGCAAUCGGAAUGGCAGAUUUAAAAGAGUCUGGGGUAGAGUUCGUUCAGGUCGUCAGAGCGUGCGGCACCCAGGCGAAUUAUACUGCAGACCAUUGCACAUCGAUUCGAGAUCUGCCUUAUGAAACGACAAAAAAUAUAUGGAAUCAGUGGUUAGGACUGACGACGAUGUAUACUUCAGUCACGUUGGAAGGACAAUUCUGUGCGUCCUCGACGGGCAACACGACGGCGUUGGACUACGUCUUGAACAAAUCAAAGCCUGUUGAAGCCACUUUCUGGGCUUCGAUUCUAUGCCUUUCUUGUUUUAUUGCAUUCGUAUGACGCAACAAUCGAACAAAAUAACACAAUUAUAUUGUUAUUGAUCUUGUAUUGAAUACAUUAUUUUAAAUGGCAUCUUCUGUUCAUUCAAGCAAUAUAUUUUAAUAAACAUGAAGUGCAUUGAACUAUACCAAUAAUGCAAACCCUGUUGAAACUUCCUUUUUGACCAGGAUCUGCCUACAAAACACCAUUUUACUUUAAAUAACGGCUUCUCUGUACGAAAUAAAUACAUAACAAUUAACGUUUUUAAAUAAGGAGAAAUUUAUACAAUCUUAUAACCAUAUUGUUGAAAAGUGCGAGGGACACAAACAAACCUUUUUCGCAUUUUUAGCUCGACUAUUAUAUAUGAAAUAAAUAUAGUGGAGCUAUCCUACUCACCCCGGCGUCGGACAAGAGCAGACAACUGUAUCAAGCAUUUUGACAUAAUUAUGGCCCCUUUUAUACUUAGAAUAUGCAUAUUAUUGAUAAAUCUAUGAUAAAGUUUGACAAAACAACACUUACCUGACAUACCACAAUGCACUCCACCCAAACUAUCCCCCACGCCUCCCCUCCACCCCAGAACUCCCCCCACCUCCUACCCACCAAAAAUAUUUUUUUUCUUAUUUUUGAAAGAUAUGACAAUCACGUAUGAUAAAUAACGGAAGUAUCUGUCAUUUAUUGUCGUUUUGUACCAGAGGAUAAGGAAAUGAUGGUUGUAAACAUGUCGUACUUGCCGUACUAGCUUAAGUUUAAAUCGUGACUGUCUUUCGAAAAAUGUAUGAAAGUUUUGUUAUUGCGUUGGAAAAAUAUAAAUCUGAUUAUUAUAUUGAUUAAAGGAUUCGAUAUGAUACACCAUCUAGAUUCGAAACUGGAUCAUGCCGGUAAAAAACUAGGUCACUAGGACAAAAAAAGAAAAACCGUGUAAACACUGUAGAAGUCACAUGUCAUGCACAGUCUUCAUGUAACUUUGUCAAAAUGUUUGUCGUAAUGAGUUGUUAGUCGAGUUCAAAAGUAGUUCCGGUCCGUUGAAAAACAUGGCCACCAGUGGGCGGGGCAGUUUUCCUUAUUUAGCUAUAGAGAAACCUUGUAAACACUCUAGAGGCCACAUUUCUUGUCCGAUCUUCAUAAAACUUGGGCAGAAGCUUUGUCUCAAUAAUACCUCGGACGAAUCCGAAACUGGGUCAUGCAAGUCAAAAACUAGGUCACUAGGUCAAAAAAAAGAAAAACCUUGUAAACACUGUAUAAGUCACAUUUCAUGUCCAAUCUUUAUGUUACUUUAUCAAAAUGUUUGUCUUAAUGAUAUGUUGGAUCAGUUCAACAGUGGUUCCGGUCCGUUGAAAAACAUGGCCGCCUGUGGGCGGGGUAGUUUUCCUAAUUUGGCUUUAGAGAAACCUUGUAAAAUCUCUAGAGACCGCAUUUCUUGUCCGAUCUUCAUGAAACUUGGUCAGAAGAUUUGUCGCAAUAAUACCUUGAUCGAGUUUGAAACUGGGUCAUACUGGGUUAAAAACUACAAGGUCAAAAAAAAGAAAACCUUGUAAACACUGGAGAAGUCACAGUUCAUGCCCAAUCUUCGUGUAACUUUGUCAAAAUGUUUGUCUUCAUAUGUUGGUUGCGUUCAAAAGUGGUUCCGGUCUGUUGAAAAACAUGGCCGCCAGUGGGCGGGGCAGUUUUCCUUAUUUGGCUAUAGAGAAACCUUGUGAACACUCUAGAAGUCACAAUGAUAUUUGGUCAGAGCAUUUGUUUUCUAGAUACGAGAGUUGAGUUUGAAAAUGGUUCCGGUCAGUUAGAAAACAUUGAUUCCAGGGGGGGGGGGGUGCAUGUUCAUUAUAUUUAAAUAGUAAAAACAGCUUGUGAACAUUCUAGAAGUCACAAUCGUCGCCCAAUCAUCAUGAAAUUUGGUGAAAACAUUGGUUUAUUCAUAUCUCAGAUGAGUUCGAAAAUGGUCCAGAUCAGUCUACAAACAUGGCCGCCAGUGGGCGUGGCCAGGUUUCCUUAAAUGAUUUUAGAGAAACCUUGUGAACACUCUAGAAGUCACAUUUUUAAGCCCCCAAAAGAGGGGAUAUAUUGAUCGAACUGUCCUUUUGUCUGUCUGUCCGUCACAAUUUUGCGUUUAGGUUUCGAAAAAAUGCUCAUAACUUCUAUGUCACUUCAGAUGUUACCUUCAUAUUUGGUAUGCAUGUGUAUAUGGACAAGGCCCUUCCAUACGCACACAUUUUGACUCCUUUGACCUUCACCUUGAACUUAGGGUCCGCGUAUAAGUUUCGUAAUCUGCGUUUAGGUUUCGGAAAGGCGUUUUCGGGGGCAUAUGUCUUCCGAUGGAGACAGCUCUUGUUUGCCUAAUAAUCGUAAAACUUAGUAAAGACAUUGGUUUUAUUGAUAUCUCGGACAAGUUGGAAAAUGGCUCAGAUCGGUGAAAAAACACACUUUGUAGCUCACCUGAUUGCUCAGGUGAUGUUUUAGGAUAUGUCUUUGUCCGUCAUCCGUCCGUCCACAUUUGGUUUGCAAACACUCGUACAUUUCUCAAGCAUUCUUUAUUAAAGUUGUUGAGAAGCUAUAUGGCCACAAGAUCUCAGUCUAGUUUGAUAAUGAGCAAUAUCGCAUACUAAAUGCCAGAAGUAUUGCCUUUAGAUUGUCAACAUUUUCAUGAUAUUAUACAAAAUCCUUGUGAACACUAGAGGUCACAAUUUUGUUUCAGAUUUUAUGAAUCUUGGUCAUAAUAUAAUUUCUGUAAGCUAUGUUUGAUGUUUGGUCAUGAGGGGUCAAAAUAUAGGUCACCAGGUCAAAUCUUACAAAAACCUCGUAAACACUCCAUACGCCAGAGUUUGGUUCAGUAAUGACGAGACUGGACAAUAUCUAGGUCAAGUUUGACGUUUGGUAAUGUGGGGACAAAACCUAGGUCAUGGGGUCUAAUCUUACAAAAACCUUGUAAACACACUAGAGCCAUAUUUUUGGUACAAUAAUGAUGAUACCCAGGAUGUUUUUAUUGGUGAUAUCUACGCAAAGUUGCGUCAUGGGGGUAAAAUCUUGGUCACGAGGUCCAAAUCUUAAAAAAACACCUUGUAAAUACAUGUAGAAUAAGCAUAACUUGCAAAUGUGUGCAUGCAAAAAAUCUAUGCAAAUGGACAGUACUCAGUCAGAAUUAAUCAUAUGCUCACACUGCAAAAGUAAACAGCAGAGAACCAAUCUAAUUAUGCUCGAGAGUACUGAAUUUUCAACUAAGCAAUGAACAAGGUAAAGGUAAAAAAAGGUGAGCGAACUAGGGCCAUCUUGGCCCUCUUGUUAUUGUUUUGUGCUGAUUCACAGGCAUGUGUUAUGCAAAGAAUAAUACCGUUGCUUAUUGACAGGAAUAAUAUUUUAACUAUACUUUCUCAAGCUGAUCUUGAUUGUUCUUAGUGAAAAUUAAUUUAACUGUACCAUCCGAUAUUUCAUCUGGAAUAAAUUGCAAAAUACA